rnacentral:lncRNA from 1 species
GUGGAGAGACGUAGAGGAGUUGAGUUCGUGUGUGUAGGGAGGCAGACAGCUCCGACGCAGACUACGGACCUCUCCAGGUCUCAGCCGUCAAAGACCCUGUCCGGUAGGAAACACUAGCCGGGGAUCAUGAGUGGCUGUCGAGUGUUCAUUGGGAGACUAAAUCCCGCAGCGAGGGAGAAAGAUGUGGAAAGAUUCUUCAAGGGUUACGGACGGAUCAGAGAUAUUGAUUUGAAAAGAGGUUUUGGUUUUGUGGAAUUUGAGGACCCAAGGGAUGCAGAUGACGCUGUUUAUGAACUUGAUGGGAAGGAACUUUGCAGUGAAAGUGUAUUAAUGCACUUUUCACCUCGUAGGGUUACUAUUGAACAUGCUCGGGCUCGGUCUCGA